rnacentral:rRNA from 1 species
CCUACGGGUGGCAGCAGUGGGGGAUAUUGCACAAUGGGGGAAACCCUGAUGCAGCGACGCCGCGUGUGGGAAGACGGUCUUCUGGAUUGUAAACCACUGUCCCCAGGGACGAAAAUGACGGUACCUGGGGAGGAAGCUCCGGCUAACUACGUGCCAGCAGCCGCGGUAAUACGUAGGGAGCAAGCGUUGUCCGGAAUUACUGGGUGUAAAGGGAGCGUAGGCGGGGAUGCAAGUUGGGUGUCAAAACUACCGGCUCAACCGAUAGUCGCACUCAAAACUGCAACUCUUGAGUGAAGUAGAGGCAGGCGGAAUUCCUAGUGUAGCGGUGAAAUGCGUAGAUAUUAGGAGGAACACCAGUGGCGAAGGCGGCCUGCUGGGCUUUGACUGACGCUGAGGCUCGAAAGUGUGGGGAGCAAACAGGAUUAGAUACCCUGGUAGUC